rnacentral:rRNA from 1 species
AUUGAACGCUGGCGGAAUGCUUUACACAUGCAAGUCGAACGGUAGAGGGGGCAACCCCUCGAGAGUGGCGAACGGGUGAGUAAUAUAUCGGAACGUGCCCAGUCGUGGGGGAUAACGUAGCGAAAGUUACGCUAAUACCGCAUACGAUCUACGGAUGAAAGCGGGGGAUCGCAAGACCUCGCGCGAUUCGCGGGGCCGAUAGCAGAUUAGGUAGUUGGUGGGGUAAAGGCUGACCAAGCCAACCAUCGGUAGCUGGUCUGAGAGGACUACCAGGUACACUGGAACUGAGACACGGUCCAGACUCCUACGGGAGGCAGCAGUGGGGAAUUUUGGACAAUGGACGCAAGUCUGAUCCAGCCAUUCCGCGUGCAGGAUGAAGGCCCUCGGGUUGUAAACUGCUUUUGUACGGAACGAAAAGGCCUCUCUUAAUACGGGGGGCUCAUGACGGUACCGUAAGAAUAAGCACCGGCUAACUACGUGCCAGCCGCCGCAGUAA